UCGAGCGAACGGAUAAGGAGCUUGCUCCUUUGAAGUUAGCGGCGGACGGGUGAGUAACACGUGGGUAACCUACCUAUAAGACUGGAAUAACUUCGGGAAACCGGAGCUAAUGCCGGAUAACAUUUGGAACCGCAUGGUUCUAAAGUAAAAGAUGGUUUUGCUAUCACUUAUAGAUGGACCCGCGCCGUAUUAGCUAGUUGGUAAGGUAACGGCUUACCAAGGCAACGAUACGUAGCCGACCUGAGAGGGUGAUCGGCCACACUGGAACUGAGACACGGUCCAGACUCCUACGGGAGGCAGCAGUAGGGAAUCUUCCGCAAUGGACGAAAGUCUGACGGAGCAACGCCGCGUGAGUGAUGAAGGUUUUCGGAUCGUAAAACUCUGUUAUUAGGGAAGAACAAAUGUGUAAGUAACUGUGCACAUCUUGACGGUACCUAAUCAGAAAGCCACGGCUAACUACGUGCCAGCAGCCGCGGUAAUACGUAGGUGGCAAGCGUUAUCCGGAAUUAUUGGGCGUAAAGCGCGCGUAGGCGGUUUCUUAAGUCUGAUGUGAAAGCCCACGGCUCAACCGUGGAGGGUCAUUGGAAACUGGGAAACUUGAGUACAGAAGAGGAAAGUGGAAUUCCAUGUGUAGCGGUGAAAUGCGCAGAGAUAUGGAGGAACACCAGUGGCGAAGGCGACUUUCUGGUCUGUAACUGACGCUGAUGUGCGAAAGCGUGGGGAUCAAACAGGAUUAGAUACCCUGGUAGUCCACGCCGUAAACGAUGAGUGCUAAGUGUUAGGGGGUUUCCGCCCCUUAGUGCUGCAGCUAACGC
rnacentral:rRNA from 1 species